rfam:Desulfobacterales bacterium PC51MH44 PC51MH44_contig000145, whole genome shotgun sequence.
UCAUCCGUGAGGAAGAAUCUGAAGGAAGCCCGAAGCAAAGUUAGGUUUUGACGCACAGAAACCGGAUAGUAGGCUUGCGUACCGGGGUAACUGAGCCAUGAAUCAGGAGGCCCAAUAGUCGUUCGGAUGGUACGGGAGUAAAUCCGGUAGGACCUAACGAAAGUCAAUUGU